rnacentral:rRNA from 1 species
UUUCCCGCCUGAAACUCUAGCAUAUCAAUAAGCGGAGGAAAAGAAACCAACCGGGAUUGCCUCAGUAACGGCGAGUGAAGCGGCAAAAGCUCAAAUUUGAAAUCUAACACUUUCAGUGUUCGAGUUGUAAUCUGAAGAACUUUUCUCUGGGUGUGCCUUUAUCUAUGUUCCUUGGAACAGGACGUCAUAGAGGGUGAGAACCCCGUAUGAUUUUGGCCUACAUCCUUUGUGAGAUUUGUUCAAAGAGUCGAGUUGUUUGGGAAUGCAGCUCUAAGUGGGUGGUAAAUUCCAUCUAAAGCUAAAUAUUGGCGAGAGACCGAUAGCGAACAAGUACAGUGAUGGAAAGAUGAAAAGAACUCUGAAGAGAGAGUGAAAAAGUACGUGAAAUUGCUGAAAGGGAAGGGCUUUAGGUCAGACUUGGUGUUUAAUGAUUAUCUUCUCUUCUUGAGUUGUGCACUCGUUUUUCACUGGGCCAAUAUCAGUUUUGGCGGUGGAGUACCUCUUGGAAUGUGGCUUUGCUUCGGUAAAGUGUUAUAGCCUUGAGACGAUCCACUUGUCGAGACUGAGGACUGCGCUUUGUGCUAGGAUAUUGGCGUAAUGACCUUAAGCCGCUCGUCUUGAAACACGAACCAAGGAGUCUAACGUCUAUGCGAGUGUUUGGGUGUAAAACCCGUACGCGGAAUGAAAGUGAACGUAGGUUGGGGCCUUCGGGUGCACAAUCGACCGAUCCUGACGUUUUCAGAUGGAUUUGAGUAAGAGCAUAGCUGUUGGGACCCGAAAGAUGGUGAACUAUGCCUGAAUAGGGUGAAGCCAGAGGAAACUCUGGUGGAAGCUCGUAGCGGUUCUGACGUGCAAAUCGAUCGUCGAAUUUGGGUAUAGGGGCGAAAGACUAAUCGAACCAUCUAGUAGCUGGUCCUGCGAGUUUCCCCCCCCCGGGAAAAACCAC